GAAUUCUUAGUGAAGCGGUGGAAUGCGUAGAUAUUAGGAAGAACACCAAUGGCGAAGGCAGCUUACUGGAUGUACACUGACGCUCAGGGACGAAGGCGUGGGGAGCAAACAGAAAUAGAUACCCUGGUAGUCCACGCCGUAAACGAUGAUCAUUAGCCGCUAGAAUAUUUAGUGGCGCAGCUAACGCAUUAAAUGAUCCGCCUGAGUAGUAUGCUCGCAAGAGUGAAACUUAAAGGAAUUGACGGGGACCCGCACAAGCGGUGGAGCAUGUGGUUUAAUUUGAAGAUACGCGUAGAACCUUACCCACUCUUGACAUCUUCCGCAAUACUAUGGAGACAUAGUGGAGGUUAACGGAAUGACAGAUGGUGCAUGGUUGUCGUCAGCUCGUGCCGUGAGGUGUUAGGUUAAGUCCUGCAACGAGCGCAACCCCUGUCUUUAGUUACUAACGGAUAAUGCCGAGGACUCUAGAGAGACUGACUGGGUAACCAGUAAGAAGGUGGGGACGACGUCAAAUCAUCAUGCCUCUUACGAGUGGGGCAACACACGUGCUACAAUGGACGGUACAAAGAGAAGCAAUAUGGUGACAUGGAGCAAACCUCAAAAAACCGUUCUCAGUUCGGAUUGAAGCCUGAAACUCGACUUCAUGAAGUGGGAAUYGCUAGUAAUCGUAGAUCAGCUACGCUACGGUGAAUACGUUCUCGGGUCUUGUACACACCGCCCG
rnacentral:rRNA from 1 species